GACUUGGUUCAUGUAAAUGGAAGAAAACAGGUGUAUCUAUUGCCAUUUCCAUCAGAGUGCCUUUGGAAGACUACAUAACCAACAGUUCCCAUUUCACCACAAUUUCUUCUAGUAAGACAGCAUGACUGAC